rnacentral:rRNA from 1 species
AACGAACGCUGGCGGCAUGCCUAACACAUGCAAGUCGAACGAGACCUUCGGGUCUAGUGGCGCACGGGUGCGUAACGCGUGGGAACCUGCCCUUAGGUUCGGAAUAACUCCCCGAAAGGGGUGCUAAUACCGGAUAAUGUCUUCGGACCAAAGAUUUAUCGCCUUUGGAUGGGCCCGCGUUGGAUUAGCUAGUUGGUAGGGUAAAAGCCUACCAAGGCGACGAUCCAUAGCUGGUCUGAGAGGAUGAUCAGCCACACUGGGACUGAGACACGGCCCAGACUCCCCCGGGAGGGGAGAAGGGGGGAAAUUUGAAAAUGGGGGGAAAGCUGAACCCAGCAAGGCCGGGGAAGUAAUGAAGGCCUUAGGGUUGAAAAGCUUUUUUCCCCGGGAUAAUAAGAACGGACCCGGGAAAAAAAGCCCCGGUAAACUCCGG